CAACAAUGUUUGAAUUUGAAAAAGAAACAGAUUAUUCAAAUUCAUUUCCCUGGUUAGGGCUGGGCUUUACAAUGGGAUUUUCAGCUGUGGAGCUAUAAAGAAUUACUACAUAGGGUUUCCAAUGUAGUUUUGUGUACAGAAUCCAGAAAUAAGAAGAGAAAAGACAAUGCAGAUGCAGCAUUAGAAUUACCAACUACUUAUCACUGCUGAGGAAAUGGUACCUGAUUUGAGUACUACUCUUGCGUAUUUGGAGACAGUCCAGUUGUUCUUUAAACCAGAAGUGGAAAUUUCAGUGCUUGUUAAAUUUUCUCCAGAAGUUAUUGGAUGAUACAUUGGAAGAAAAUGGGAUCAUACUGAACAAAAUAGUUUGGACACACCUUAUAGAUUUUGAAAGAUUGAGACCUCAAGAUCAACCCAAAUAAUAUUUAAUAUGUAUCAGGGUUCACUUGCAAGAAUACACAGAAAUUCAGAGUAAAUUUUAAGUGUUUGUUAUCUUAGAGAAGAUCAAAGUUCAAGGUCAGCAGUGCUUUAGUUUUACCAAAUAUAAAACUGUUAUAAAGACUAAUUUCCUGUAUACAGUUAUAGCAAAUAAUUCAGAAUAUGAUUUGGGGAAACCAUGAUUUUUUUCUUUUAAAUCUUACCUUAAUUUAGAACCAUGAUGUAUACUUAAGCAAGUAGAUUUUUUUCAAGCAUACAAAAUUUCAAGGUCAUUUUAAUUUUGGAAGUGAAUAUAACAUAUCAGGAAGCAGUCAAGCAUUGUAAUUUAUUUGUUGUUGAAUGUACUUAGUUAUUGAGUAAUAUUCAAAUUUUAAUAU